UGUCCUCUCCGAUUUGUAACUCAAGGAGCUCCCAGGCUUAGGAACAGAUGACGAGCUGGCCACUCCUGGCUGUGGCACCUGGGGAAGGGGCGAUGGGCAAUGACUUGCAGGCACACUCCCGGCUCCCUGGCCCCGGCUGCCGUGACACACUGCAAGUUGACUUUCGCAGGGUCCCUGGACUUCGAGGUGCUACUGUCCGGCAUCUCCUUCAAGGGAAAGCCAGAUCUCCAAACAGCGGCAGAACCAGGCAUGUAGAGCCCAGUGAGUGACUAGGAGUCAGUGGGGCUCUCUACCUGCCCAUCUCAUCCAGGGCACAAUAGGGCCUGGCCUGGAGGACAGUGUCCCCGCUCAGCUCUGCCAGUCAGACUGACACUAUCAUCUCAACCUUAGUGGGGAUGGAUUUAGCAAGCCAAAGCUCCCUGGAAGAGGAAAUUCCUUUCCUGCAGAGCUCUCCAGGAGAAGCAGAGAAAGAUCUUAGUGCUCAGAGAUUAGCUGGGAUUGCUCUGGAGGCAUGUGAUGAUGGUCAUAAUAGCACCAAGGAAUGACAUACUGUUGAUUUGCUCUCAGGCACAGUACCAAGCAUUUGACCUGAAUUAUUCAAUCCACACACCAGUCACAUGAGACAGGUGUUUUUAGUUGUCUCCAUUGUACAGAUGAAGAAACUGAGGUGGAGUGGGGUUAAACCACUUGUCAGGAUCAGUACCAGCAUUGGAUCCCUGCAGCCUGACCUGGGGUCCUCGGCUCUGACCAACUUGGUGAUGUUGUCUCCUCCUGGAAGUUCUUACUGAUCACUUAUAGACAGAUCAGGGAUUUCUUUAUGGCAAGGUAUAUACAAAGGAAAGUGCCGAUAGUCUUUUUAUUUUUAAAACCUUCAAAGAAAGCAGAAAAGUUAGAAGCAGAAACAGAAGAAAAAAAGAUUUAGAUCAAGUAGUAAUUAUUCAAUAACUCAAGUUUAGAAAGAUACUAGAUUUGGGGCACCUGGGUGGCUCAGUCGGUUAAGUGUCCGACUUCAGCUCAGGUCAUGAUCUCAGUU